CCAAGCACGUGGAUUCGCCUUACGUACGCGGCGAGUGAAGCGGCAAUAGCUCAAAUUUGAAAUCUGGCGCCUUCGGUGUCCGAGUUGUAAUUUGAAGAUUGUAACCUUGGGGUUGGCUCUUGUCUAUGUUUCUUGGAACAGGACGUCACAGAGGGUGAGAAUCCCGUGCGAUGAGAUGCCCAAUUCUAUGUAAGGUGCUUUCGAAGAGUCGAGUUGUUUGGGAAUGCAGCUCUAAGUGGGUGGUAAAUUCCAUCUAAAGCUAAAUAUUGGCGAGAGACCGAUAGCGAACAAGUACAGUGAUGGAAAGAUGAAAAGAACUUUGAAAAGAGAGUGAAAAAGUACGUGAAAUUGUUGAAAGGGAAGGGUUUGAGAUCAGACUCGAUAUUUUGUGAGCCUUGCCUUCGUGGCGGGGUGACCCGCAGCUUAUCGGGCCAGCAUCGGUUUGGGCGGUAGGAUAAUGGCGUAGGAAUGUGACUUUACUUCGGUGAAGUGUUAUAGCCUGCGUUGAUGCUGCCUGCCUAGACCGAGGACUGCGAUUUUAUCAAGGAUGCUGGCAUAAUGAUCCCAAACCGCCCGUCUUGAAACACGGACCUCCUGUGUGAGGGAUCCCCCUAAA
rnacentral:rRNA from 1 species